AGUGAACGCUGGCGGCGUGCUUAACACAUGCAAGUCGAACGGAUCAAAGUAGCUUGCUAUUUUGGUUAGUGGCGCACGGGUGAGUAAUGUAUAGCUAACCUGCCCUUUAGUGGGGGACAACAGUUGGAAACGACUGCUAAUACCCCAUACUCCUUCUUGCCAUAAGGCGAGUCGGGAAAGAUUUAUUGCUAAAGGAUGGGGCUUUAUUGUAUCAGCUAGUUGGUGAGGUAAUGGCUCACCAAGGCUAUGACGCAUACCUGGUCUGAGAGGAUGAUCAGGCACACUGGAACUGAGACACGGUCCAGACUCCUACGGGAGGCAGCAGUGGGGAAUAUUGCACAAUGGAGGAAACUCUGAUGCAGCAACGCCGCGUGGAGGAUGACGCAUUUCGGUGUGUAAACUCCUUUUAUAAGGGAAGAUAAUGACGGUACCUUAUGAAUAAGCACCGGCUAACUCCGUGCCAGCAGCCGCCGUAACAC
rnacentral:rRNA from 1 species